CAGGUUAUCUCUGAAGAUCAUGCCAUGAACAUGAUUACCUCCAGACCAAGAGUCCAUGAAACUUUGAGGAAGCGCGAUCUUACAAAAGCUCUUGUAAUGAAAGAGCUGGUGUGGUUUGUGCCAUGAUUAGAAGCUUACAAUAGCAUUCAAAAAUGACACUUCUGCAUAGU